rnacentral:rRNA from 1 species
ACGAAGGGUGCAAGCGUUAAUCGGAAUUACUGGGCGUAAAGCGCGCGUAGGUGGUUUGUUAAGUUGGAAGUGAAAGCCCCGGGCUCAACCUGGGAACUGCUUUCAAAACUGGCAAGCUAGAGUAUGGCAGAGGGUGGUGGAAUUUCCUGUGUAGCGGUGAAAUGCGUAGAUAUAGGAAGGAACACCAGUGGCGAAGGCGACCACCUGGGCUAAUACUGACACUGAGGUGCGAAAGCGUGGGGAGCAAACAG